rnacentral:rRNA from 1 species
GACGAACGCUGGCGGCGUGCCUAAUACAUGCAAGUAGAACGCUGAAGGAGGAGCUUGCUCUUCUGGAUGAGUUGCGAACGGGUGAGUAACGCGUAGGUAACCUGCCUGGUAGCGGGGGAUAACUACUGGAAACGAUAGCUAAUACCGCAUAAGAGUAGAUGUCGCAUGACAUUUGCUUAAAAGGUGCAAUUGCAUCACUACCAGAUGGACCUGCGUUGUAUUAGCUAGUUGGUGAGGUAACGGCUCACCAAGGCAACGAUACAUAGCCGACCUGAGAGGGUGAUCGGCCACACUGGGACUGAGACACGGCCCAGACUCCUACGGGAGGCAGCAGUAGGGAAUCUUCGGCAAUGGACGGAAGUCUGACCGAGCAACGCCGCGUGAGUGAAGAAGGUUUUCGGAUCGUAAAGCUCUGUUGUAAGAGAAGAACGAGUGUGAGAGUGGAA